CUCUGAUUCCGGUGGAUUCAGGGCAAAAGGAG
rnacentral:ncRNA from 1 species